GAUGGUGAUGGUAAAGACAAUGAUGAUGACAGUGAUAAUGGUAAUAAUGACGAUGGUGAUGAGGAUGGGAUGAAGAUGAAAAUGGUGAGGCUAACUUUUAUGGAGCAUUCAUUACACGCCAACUGCAUUCCCACACUAUUUCAUUUCAUCCUCAUGACAACAUUUUGAGCUCGGUCCCCCACUGUCUCCAUCUUACAGAGGAGGAAAAUUAGGCUGACCUCAGGGAGGUUCAGUCACAUAACAGUUAGUAGUAGAGUUGAGAAGCUCACCCAGGAGGUUGCACCAGAAUCUGCUCACUAACCAUUACCUACCCUACCUCUGUUACGAAAGAGCCUGUCCUUGUGGCCCCUCAUAUGAUACUCCUUGUCUGCCCCCAAAGGACAACACUGUCCCCAUCAAUACCAUUCUGGCCAAACUUCCCCAAUAAGACACGAGGAGGAAGCUGAGGUCCCCGAAAGGUGGGACACAGGGUUGUGGGUGCCCCUCAGGGCACUGCAAAUGAGGGACCACCACUCCACUACCGUGGGAACACGAAUGUUCCACCUGCCGUCACUACCCACCCAAGGUUCCUGCUCUGAGGGGAUAUGGCUCUGUAGCAACUGGACAGUGGCAGGGCCAGGCUGCAACCACCAGCCGGGGCCGGCACUGGUCAGCACAUGGCACGCCUCUCAGGGACCCCAUCUGGCAACCAGGCCCUUCUCUGGCCACACUUGGAUUUUGAAAGAUGCCUAAAGUGUACUUGGAUGUGUUUGAGCCUGAAAACGUGCUUUAUCAUCAAUCACAUCCUGCUCGAAAUGAAACGGAAGGCUGGACUGUUUAAAAACCACGACACAGCCGCCUCAUUCAUCGCACAAAACCAAAACCCUUGUCUGCUUGACUCAUUCAGCUGUCCAGCUGCCCCACCAGCGGCUGUCAUUCCAUUUUACAGAUGAGCAAACUGAGGCCUGGAACAAUUAAGGUGCCUCCUUGAGGCUCUCAACCAUUAGAGAGGGAGCGGUAAUUCCAGCCUGGGGCCGCCUAGAGCCAAAGGCAGCACACCCAGCGCAGCCCUGCACCUGCUGCCCCCAUGGGAAGGCAGCACCUAGGACCAAGGUGAUGCUGAUGUCACUGAGUGCGUUGUUACGUCGUGGCAGGCUGAAUUCUAGGAUGGCCCCCAUGAUCCCUCCUACCCUGUACACGCCCCAUGUACUCCCUGCUGCUGUGAAUAUGAUGGAUUCCACCCCCAUAAUAGCUUGCGUCACGUGGCACAACUUGUUCACUGUACAAAAGGGACAUCACUCAGCCAGGGGGGCCUGAUCUAAUCACGGGAGCCUUUAGAAGCAGAGGGUUUUCUCCAGCAAGGAAAGGGGGACAUCAGUCCUACAGCUUUGAGGAAUGGAAUCUGGCCAACAACCUGAACGAUGUGGCAGUGGAAUCUUCCUGGAGCCUCCAGAAGGAAUGCAGCCUGCCCAGCACCUGGAUUGCAGCCACACAAGACCCCAAGUGGAGGACCCAGCUAAGCUGUGCCUGACUUCUGACCUGCAGAGCUGUGAGCUAGUACAUGAGUGUUGUUUGAAGCUCCCAAAUUUGCAGUGGUUUGUUACACAGCGUAGAUAGCUGAUACAGACAGACAUUCAGGUGGCCUAGGCUGUGAAGAGAGAGAGGGAGGGAGACCUUGGUCCAAACCUCCACCUUGCCCCGCCUCUCUGGGCCUCCCACUUCUCAGAUCGAUGCCAGCAAGUUGCGGCAGGAUGAAAUAAGAGAAUGCACUGAAAAGUGCUUAGCUCCGUGUCUGGAACACAGUAUGUAUUUAAGAACUCACGGGUGGUAAUACUAUGCUAAUAUUAACAACAACUGUAUUAUGAUUUUCACGCAGAUGGAAGAGGUGUCCCAGCGAAGUCCUGUAGCAGUAAAACAGGCUUUAGCAUCUCGGCCUCGCUGGUCAGAACCCCAAGUGGGAAUCUCACCCUCAAGGGGAAAAAAACUGGCCGGCUUGUGCCCCCCGCCCCAGCUCCUGGGGCAGACAGGGACCCUGCCUGUCCAGUGGAAAAGUCCACAUACUCACACCCUCAAGAACCUUUCGGAGGAGUUUAAGAAAGUAUUUAUCAAACAAUAAUAAAAAGUAAAUCUUAAAGACCUGCAAGGGCCUUUCUCCUGUGUCCACAGACUCAGGACGAAUUGGACACGGGCCCUUCGCUGACACCAUUAGGACCAAAAUGAACCAAGUCACUGGUUCUGUGAGCUCUGGGAGAGACAGACUCAGAAAUAAUGGCCGACACAAGGCACCAGGAGGAGACGUGACCGCACUGUGACUCUCGGAGGGCACCUGCCAUGUGGCACACCCCAGGCUGGACUGUGUCCUGGGCCCCUGGAAUCGAGCAGUGAACAGAGACCCAGCACACAUGUUGUUUACCACGUGGUGUGAUCCGUGCGAAGCCCAGGUCUGCUGGGAAGGCUGCAGAGCUCAGGGAGGGUGGGCCAAGGAGGGCAGGAGGCUUUCUCUGAGCCCCAUGGAGCUGAGAAGUGCUUUCCAGGCAGACCAGGUGAGGAAAAGCAUCUCAGACAGAGGGAACUGCCUGAGCAAAGGUACAGAGGCCGGAAUGGACGUGACUUGUCAGGAAACUGCAAGCUGCCGGGCGUGAGGUGGGCCAUCUCCUCCGGGAAGCAACCCUGGGCCUCACUUCUCGAAAGGAAUUCCUUUGCUUCUAUUCCUUCCAAGACUGACUCAGAUGAUUAAUUAACCAAAUGUACUACUUUCCCAGGAAGCUUUGCAGAUGGCAAGCCAGCAGCCAAAUAGGGCACAAGGAAGGCCCCAGAGGGUGAGAGCAGCGGCCAUAAAGCCGGUGACUGUGGGCGCAUCGGGUAGAGGUUUAACCCUCAUUGGUGUCUGAGGCCAUCAGGUGACCCUGGGCAAUGGACGGGACCAAUGCGGGAGUUUAACCUUAGACCAUGUCACAAGGUACUCCAGGUCCCUGAGAUAAAGUUCUGUGGCUUUGUCCAAGAGCUUUUAUGAUUUUUCCUCAAAUGCUACUUCAGUUUAGAUUUUAGAGCAGGGUCAGCACCUGCAGAGCACACGUGCUGUCACUCUCUGUUUCUGCACUCAUGGCAGACAAAACUAAUCAAUGGUAGAAUUCUCAGUCCAGUUAGGCAACUGAUCCUUGGGGAUGUCUGGGGUCUGAGCCACUGUUCUCAGUGAGAUGGACACCCAGCUUCGUCAUGAGCCCACUAGGUUCUGACUCUCCUCUCCACACUCUGACCACUUUUGGCCAAGACAGUUGGAAGAUUGUAGAAACCAGUACAAAGGGAGAAUGAGACAGCUUCCUCUGUCUCUCUGUCUCUGUCUCUCUCUCACACACACAUGCACACACACACACACACACACACACACACACACACACACACAUGCACGUAGGAACAUAGGCAGAGCAAGCCCACGUGCGUCACAAAUGAUCUGAAGCAGAGUGCAGUGUAAGCCACGUGGCAGACGGCACCAGUCAGGCCCAUCUGUGGCUCUGUCCCAGUGUCUAGGACAGUUUUUGGUACACAGAAGCUGCUCAAUUAAUGCCUGUUGAGUGAAGGAACACCUGUGGGUCCAAGAUGUCUUCAGACCAGCCCUGGCCUCCCCAGCUCUGUCUCCUGGCCGCAUCAAUGUCUCAACUCCCUUGUCCUAGCGCCCUGAUGGUCAUUUCUCCCCCCAGGAAGUGUUGGCGGCCUAGGGACAGCACUCCCAUUAAACAGUUGAUGAAUUAGGGCCUGGAGAAGUUUUCCUGGAGUCUUUAAAUUACUCUUGAGAUGAAGUUCUAGAUAAAUGCAGAAUGAGUGACUGAGGUGGGAAAACCGCACUUUCCAAGGGGUCUCUGCCUCCCCCCCACCAUACCCCUGCUCCUUCCUCUGGGAAAUUAAUUGGUAUCAAGCGAAAAUUUUAGGAAAUGGCCGUGUUCUAAAGGCCCCUGCUUAACGUUCCCUUUAAUUAGAACGGGUUUCACUUGACGUUUCUGCUGACCCGCAGGGGAAGGGCGGCCCUGCCCGAGUGAAUGCCCAUUGACCCAGGAAUUCCUGCGUCUCAGUUAUGCCCCGUUCGUGGGCUCACUUAGCAGAGUUCAAAAGAAUGGCUUUCUCUGCAGCAAAACAACAGCCAGGGCUCAGAGUCACUCCCCUGGUUCGGGCACCUCUGUGGGAACCUGGGUCCAGGACAUUCCUCGGGAAGGAAGAAUGCACACGCGGGGGAUAGCUGGGUCCCUGCCAAGGCCGGUCUCCCAACAGGCUCAGCUGGCAGAGCCGGAGCCCCAGAGAGGAUGACUCUGAACUGGGCCUGGGGACAGAGACGUGGGCAGGGUGGCAUGCACCUGCCUCAGGGUGUCAGGCCAGGAGGGGGUCCCGCGAGCUGGCGGCUCCAGCCAGGUGGGAGGUGAUGGAGAAGUCCAAGGUCAGGGAGCCCAGGAGAGGUGUUGAGCCCACCCAGCGCAGGGCGCCAUCUCCCCAGGGCCAGUUCUGGCUAAGGUGGGACCUUGAAUUCGUCUGGACUCGCGAGGCUGGGCUGCCAUAACAUAGAAACCCAAACCUUGAAUCCAUUCUGUCCUCUUCUUGUGGUCCACUGAGGGUCUUCUCUGUGGGUCUCCUCCAGCAGGGGUGAAGGAGGGAAGGGCUUAGGUGAGGGGCUGGGUGUGGGCCAUGUGGGCUGGAAGCACUGACGAAGAGGCUCUGGCCUUGAGCCCCCAGGUAGAGAGGGGUGCACUUGCUGAGCGGGAAAAGCAAGGACAGGAACGGGGGGCAGGGAGCUGAAACCCAGAGCCCCUGGGGGACACGCCAGGUGUGCAGCGCCACAAGCAACCCUAGUGGGGAUGCUGGCAGAGGCUCGGAUACACAGAGCUCAGGGGCAUGGGCUGACCCCAGUAUGGAAGAAGCACAUUGGAAACACUCCCUGAUUCUGGAAAGAUGACUUGGCCAGUUUACCAAAUCUAAGCAGUGGGGGCGGGAGAAAAGGGAUCAACAAACCAUUCUUACGGGGCGAGGGGGAAGACCUCCCCAUUUUACAGGCAGAGGCACCAAGGCCCAGGAGGGACACAGCCAGGGUCUCUCAACACGUGUCAGGCACACCCCCAGCCUCACUGUGUUUGGUCCACAGCCAGAAAAUGAUGGGAACGAUUAAUAUCCCCAUUUUCCAGAUGGAGAAACUGAGGAACAAAGCAGUUCAGCGAGAUCCCCAAGGUCACCUAAGAAGCCAGUGGCUGACCUGAGGUUUAAUCCAGGCCGUCCGACCCCACAGCUCACGUUCUCACCUACGCAAAGCCAACUUUCCUGAUUCCUUUGCCCUCUCGUCCAGGGUCAGUUGGAAUUCCGGAGCCUUUAGCCCCCAGAGAAGUUAUCAGCAUGUAUCUAAAAUUGCACCUUGUGUGAAGCAAAUUUGGGUCUAAUUCUUCCCCUGCUAUCGUUUUCACCGGCAUUCCUGGGCAUAAGACGUCUCAGCUUGGCCCUAGGGUCUUAUCGAUGAAAUGACCGGGUAUGGAAUGUGGGACCCACCGGCUUUAUCUCAGAAGACAGGCGGUAAUUAAAGUGUCCUGUGCUGCCAUGCUGAAACGACAGAGAGGCCACCACGCCCGGCCCCCUGCUGAGUGGCAGUUGGGUCAGGCUGGGGUCAGGCAGGGCAGUGUCACCGUUUCUGACCUUAGGAGUCGAAUCAGGAAGCAUCUACACCCCCCUCACACCCCAGUCAUCACAUCUGACCCCAACAGCUGCCCUGUGAGUCACCAUCCCCAUUCCAUAGACGAGGAAACGGAGGUUCAGAGAGGGCAAGCCACCUGCUGAGGCCACCCAGCCAACCAGUGGCUGAACCAGGACACAAACCCAGGCAUUCGGACCUUAGUCAUUUCUUCCAUAAAUGCAUCUUGAGUAAGGCUGAUUCAGGGCCAAGUUCCAAGAUACGUGCUGGGAACAAGCAGAUAAGUAAAACUUCAUGCCUGACCCCAACAAUCUCAUGGUGGUGAUGGGAGCAGAAGGGACACAAAACAAGAAACCAUUCACUGUGGAAUAUUACUCAGCCUCAGAGAGGAAGGACACAUUCUGACACAUUUUCCAACGUUGGGGGGGGUGGGGGCCUGGAGGGCGCCAUAUGCUGUGAGACAAGCCAGGACACGUGCUACAUGAGUCCACGUACGGGAGGCCCCUCUAGGAGUCAAAGUCACAGAGACAGAGAGUAGGAUGGGGAUGCCAGGGACGGUGGGAGGGCGAUGGGGAGUUGCUGUUGAACGGGGUCCGUUUAAAAAGAGGAAAAAAUUCUGUAGGUUGGUUGCACAACAAUGUGAAUGUACUUAAAUACUACAGAACUGGACACGUAAAAAUGAUUGAGAGGGUAAAUUUCACGUUCCUAGCAUUUUGUCACAAAAUAUUUUCAUUAAAAAAAAAUCCCUCUUCAUUCAUUAGUUCUGCAGCAGUGCCUGAGAGCCCACUUCAGCCCUGGUCCAGGCACUGGUCCAGGUGAGUGGGGGGGGGGGGCAUAAGAGGGAUGUAAGAAGGUGGCCCUGGUCACAGGUACUGACACCCCAAGCAGGGAGGUCAGAACCCCACACAGGCACAGGUGGCUGCAGCAAUGAUAAUAGCAGCCCGGUGGCCCCUGGGAUGCCAGGCACAGUGCAGGCUGCAUCCCAUCUGGCUCUCAGCACAGUUCUCUAGGGAGUUAUGAUCAGCCUGUCUUGUAAAGGACGAAACCAGGGCUCCAAGCGGAGUCACCUGACCCAGGUGACUUAACUCAUAAGGAGAAGCACACCAUUCAAAGUUCAGGUAUUAAUUAUCUCUUGCUGUGUAACAAAUUACCCCAAAACGUAGUGGCUGGAAACCACAAAUAUGUCUUACCUCCCACUGUUUCUGUGGGUCAAGGAUCUGGGAGCCGCUAGACUGGGUGGCUCUGGACCAGAAUCUCUUAGGAGACUACAGUCAAGAUGGCAGCCGGGGCUGCAGUUAUCUGAAGGCUUGACCGAGGCUGGAGGACUCACCUCCGAGACAGCUCCUUCACCCGGCUGUUGGCAGGACGCCUCAGGACCCUGCCACACGGGCCUCUCUACAGGGAUGCUUGUGUGUCCUCGCAACGUGGCGGACGUCUUACCCCAGAGUGAGCAGUUGAAGAGAACGAGGUAGAAGCCACAACGCCUUCUAUGACGUGGCCUUGGGAGUCACGCUCCAGCAUCCCACAGCAUUCCGCUGGCUACCAGGUGAGCCUAUUCAAGGUGGGAGGGAACUACACAGGGGUUGAAUACCAACAGGCAAGGAUCGUCGGAGGCUGUCUUGAACUGGCUGCCACCCCAGGCCUGUCGGACUCUCCCACCGGGCUCCUGCAUUCUGCUAUAAGACCAGUGGUCAGUGGUACAGUGGUAUCUGGUGUCAGAGGAGUUUCAGAGACAGCUGGGAUUGGAGGAGGGGGGCGUGCCAGGUGGGGGUACCAUACUGAUUGGAGACAAGACCUGUACCAUAGAGGCAGCUGUGGGCCUCUGUCUCAGGUGAGGGGAAAAGCUCACACCAGGCCGUCAUCACUUUUGGGGAAACAUGAUGGACGGUUGGGCCCAGGAGGCACCCUUCUCAAACACAAGCCUCCUCGGAAGGCCCUUGGGGAGAGGAUGACCAGGUGAAUGGCAGCACCUCUGGCCGUGGCAGCCAGAGCUAGAUGUUGGUAUCAGAUCUGAAAUGUGUGUGACCUUGAGUAAGUCUCCCAUAUGCACUCUGACCCUCAGUCUCCUCCUCUAAAAUAGAAUACUGAAUCAUUUCUCCCAGGCAAGAGAGAGAAUAAAGCUGCAUGGGCCCAGGGGUCUGGCACGUACCAGAGCUUCAGGUUCAGCCUCUGACACAGCCCAGACCCAGCAGCAGGCCAGCAGCUGACUCAGACAAACACACCGCCCCGGUGGAACACGAGUGUCCCCGUCCCCCCAGUUCAGCCAGUGAGCCAGGACUUAUGCCCGCAAAUCCAGAUUAGCCAGACUAGUGGCUCCCUCUGGGCUGUGCUUAGGAGAAAAAAAGGCCAACACUGCUCGUGGUUAUUGGAAUGUCCCAUUGAUGAGAAAUGAUCUGGACAAAUAUUUCACACCUCCUUUGUCACAUUCCAGUGGGAAAAUAACAUGGGCUGUGGAACGCUCCUUCCCAGGACCGCUGACAAAGAACACGGACAUUCCUUUAUCUCCGCUGGAAGUUUUGUUUUCCUUUUAUCAAAAAGGUGUUAUCAGUGCUGCUUAAAUAAAAAAGAAAUGUGCAAUUGGAAACGAGACCCGGCCAGCUACAAAAAGGAAGGCUUGGGUGAAGGAAAAGCUGCAGAAAGAGAUGUUUUUUCACUAACCUGGCAUUCGGGAAUCCCAGCAACCGUUCUUUCUAGUACCAUCAGAUGAAAUUGGACAGUGCAGCCUCUGUCAGUGAUAGUUAAUUACGGCAAUAACGCAGAUUACUUACGGUGGGCAUUUCACUGUUACAGUGGCUCAGCAAAGACGUGCUGGAGUGAAUCUUCACAUCAUACAACAUGGAAAAGUUACCAAGUCCAAGGUCACGCAGCUAAUAAAUGGCAGAGACCCAAAGCCCUCGCUUCCCCACCCUCCAUGCCUUUUGACUUCUUCCCAGGAGAGGAAGGGCAGGUGUGGCUGGAGGGAAAGCCGCAAAGCCAGUGACAAAGUGUUUGCUUUGAACCAACUUGGUGUUGGCUACAUCACCCGGAAUUAAUGCCAGCCAACCCUGCUUUGUGCCCACUGAUGGCCUCAGGCCUGGCACUAGGGGUUUGAGGGAGUGGACGGAUGUGCAGGUACAUCAAAACGUGGACAGAGGGACAACUCAAUGGGCAGGUGAAGGCUAAGUGAGUAGAUGGACCGUCAGUGGAGGAUGCUGGUGAGUCAAUAGGUGGACCGGUGGUCAGAUGACAGGAUGGACGCCUGUGUGAACGGCUGGUUGGCGGGUGGGUAACCUGAUGGGAUAGCUGCGUACCUUUGGACGGACGUUGGUAAGUGUUCGUUAGAACGGUGGAUAAGUGGAUGGGCAGUGGAACAAGUGAGUGGGCAGGGCUGUCCCCUGACUCCAGGCCUGACUCCCCAUUCCUGCGGGGAAGGGAAAGCCGGCCCUCAGAGGACGGGUCAUUCUUGAGCACGUGCCCUUUGGCCACAGCAUCAGUGGUUCCUGACCUUGCGAGCCUGGAAUCUGAGAGGUGAGAGGGGCCAUACGGUCCCACUGGAUUCCUGGCUGGGGGCCCACGAUGGGGAGAGCCUCGCUUCACCCUCCAUCCCAGGCUCUCAGCUCCCACCCUCAUCUGGGCUCCAGGAGCUGCUGCUGUCCCAAACUCCAGCCUGAGAGGUGCCCUUUGACCUAACUUAACCUCGUCAUAAACAUGGGCUCUGAGGUGGCAUGAUGAACCGGCAAGAUGGUGCUCUGUUUGGGGGUACCGGCAGCAGUGUGGUCCCCGUGAGGCAGCUGUGUGGGGUCCUCCGAGACCUGAAGACCCUCAAAGCCCCAGGGACCCUUGGAAGCCUUUGUCCACAGGGGCAGCAGCGACAGCUGGUGACCCAGCAGUAGCCACAAUCAUUCAGCUGGCUCUUCCUGUGCACCUACUCCAUGCCAGGUCUGUGCUGGGUGCUGAGGUGGUGGUGGGGCGGUCUGCACCUCUGGGACCCCCGAGCCUGCCCACGGCCAGCCCUGGGUCAAUGUCCCUCAAGCAAAGGGGCAGCCCUGCCCUCCAAGAGCUCCAGCCCGGGAGCAUCUCUGAGUGGCUUGGGAGAGGUGACCCACGUGUAGCCAUGGCCUGGGCUCCCUGGUCAGUUCGUCUACUCCUUUGGAAGCAGGUGCUCAUGGGGUUAGAGGAGCUAGCUCUCGGUCACCCCGAUUUCAAGGGUAGGGGGACACCCACCCCAGGCCACCCAUCCCAGCCCAGAGAUCAGCAGAAGUAGCACUGAAACAAAAAUCUAGGAGUUGAGGCUAUUGUGUUCCUCCAGGGCCUUCUCCCCACAGCUGGGUGUGCUGUCCUAUCACCUAGCAUAUUCCACUGAGGUCGGUUUAGGGACCCACUCACCCUUUGCAGAUGGAGCCCUAGGUCACUGCUAAUGUGGACUUUUGCUGUGAAAUGAGACACGAGGUUGCCCACGGGACCAUGGCCCUGAUUACAUUUCCAUCCUGGCCCCUGGCUAAGAGCCUGGCACACAGGAGGGGGUCAGCAAAGGUUUGCUGAGUGAAUACAUGACUAAAGGGCACAGACUUCAAAACCAGAGGAGCCUGAGCCCAAAUCCUGACUCUUCCCUUUUGGGGCUGUGUGACCCAAAGGAAGUCACUUAACCUCUCUGGGUCUCAGGUUCCUAUUCUGUGAACUGAAGACCAUAAUGUUAACCUAGCAGGAUUUUUGUAAGGACUCAGGGAGAUGGUGUUUGCAAAGUGCAAGUCACCGAGUAGGUGUCAGCGCAUGUGCUCAGCUGACCCCGCCUCCAGGCUGUGGGGCUCCAGGCUCACCUGUGGGUGGCUGAGGCCCCGCCCUCCUGGCAGCCCCAACCCCCAGCAGGUGACUGCAGAGGCUCCUGGGCGCCAGUCCUGGGAGCGUGGGAACUUCCUGCCACCCUGUUUGUCUUGGGCCGCCUGGGAGGGGCUGCCACCCUCUGUCAGCUCCAGCAUACUCCUGCCGGGUCGCCCAGCGUGAAAGGGAGGAAUUGUUCCCGUGACCUUUGCUUUCCUUGUCAAAGGACCCAGCACGGGACCCAGCCCAGGGUCAGAGGCUCCGGCAUUUUGGAUCACUCAAUCUCCCCAGCGCAAAAAGACACCCCCGCCCGCCGAGAGCAAGGCAUCCUCCCCUACUCCUGCCUCCACCCAACCCUGCCCUGGGAGGGUGUUCCCUGUGCCGGUCUCUGGAGGUGGGCCACAGGUCUCUACACAAGUUGGAAACGCUUUUUUCUCCAUCAAGUUUUUAUGACUCUGCCCCAGCCUCGUCCUCCCCCUAGUUAUGUGGCCAGGCCACUGCCUACUGCCCACUGUCCGUGCUUUGGCAUGGCUGGUGGCCUCAGGGUGUAACCCUGGCAGCCACGGAAACUUUGGUAGAUCAGCCAUGCGGUGGCCCCUGCAGGCAGCACAGCUGGGGUUAAGGGCAGCCUCGGAUCAUGAAGGCUCCAUUUCCUAUUUUCCAGAAGAUGCUGAUUAUUAAUGAUCAUUGUUCUUUCCUUCUGGGGCAUGAAAAAGCAGGUUUAGCUCACAACCGGAAAGCAGCAGGUCAGGGUUCCCAGAGUAUGAAAUGUCAGCCUCUGGCGGCAACGACAUUCACCCAGAGGCACUAAAAAUACAUGCAGAACAGAAGCACCAGGUCUCUGGAGGCUGAAGAAAUCAAGCGAGCUGAGGGCAGAAACAACACUCGCUGAGUAUGUGUGUGGCCGCAUGGCAAGGGUUUUACUUUUUUUUUUUCCUUAGAGACAAGAAAGUGAACUUGAGAAGGGUCAGCCCAGAAGGACCUUGCUCUUUCAAGGCUGACCUUGCCGUAUGUAAAAUUCAGAUGGAAACGGAACCUGCAGUGAGAUGUGACCCCCGGGCAAGUCUGGUGUUUGGCAGAAUUCACGCCUUCUUGGCCCAAAAAGGCAGAGGGUUUGUGUCCUUCCCAGCAAUGAGGGCAGCACAGUCCAAGAGAACAUCUGUGAUGACAGAAAUGUUGUGUAUCUGCUCCGGCCGACAGGGAGCUGCUCUUCCCAUGUAGGUGUACAGCCCUUGAAAUGUGACUAUUGCAUUUCAGCAACAGAAUUAUUCAUUUGAUUUCAUUUGAUUUGAUUUAGAUUUAAAUAACCAUUUUUAAAUGAUGGCUGGUGGCUACCAUAUUGGGCGGCAUGGUUUUAGGCUCUAGGGGAAGGAGAGCUGCAAUUGAUUAGCAAUGUCUACCAGGGACACAGGCUGGUAAGGUAAGAUACGAGUGCUGUGUUGCCAAAGACCAAGGGAACUGGUGUGACCCAGGUCACCCGAGGCCCAGGUCAUUGAUUCUGGUGCCUGCACAGUUUUCACAUUUAGAAGUAAAAAUAUCUGUGAAGUUUAGUGUCACAUUCCCCACCCCCCACCAUGAUCUCUAGUCUCAUGAUCUUUACUCCAGGCAACUACCAGUCUCCUAACUGGUUUCCCUCCCUGUGGGACCCCAUUUCUAAUCCACAGCAGCCAGAAGGGUCCUUCCAAAAUACUAAUCCAACCAUGUUCUACCCUGCUCAAAACCCAUGAUCACCACGGCCAUCAAGACCUUUCCUUACCAUGCCUCUCUGGUUUUGUAUCCUUUCAUUCUUCUUCGUUUCCACCCCUCUGAUGCUGGCUGGGUCUUUUUCUGCUCCACUGCCCAGAAAGCCCUGAAGACCAGGGCUAGCUCUUGUCCCAUCUUGGCAGCCCCCCCCACCCAAAGCACAGGACCUGAGUACCUCCUACUGGAAGGCUCACGUGGUUCCAGGAACUCCCUGUAAAUUUUCUUACCGUGCCCUCAAAAUAAUAAGACAAGUACCAUUACUGCUCUGUUUCACAGAUGAGGAAGCUGACGCUCAAAGAGGGGAAGGGUUUAGCCAAAGACAGGAGUGAAGAUGGCAGAUGUGAGACCCAGACCUGGGUAGGUGUCACUCUCAUACCUUGCUGUCUGCACAGAACACUCAGCUUCAACACUGUGGCCGUGCUAAGACUAGAAGCCAGGUCACAAGACUCUAGUCCACUAUUUCUUCCACUACUGACUUAAUACAUGGUUUAUCAGAAAAUCAAGUCAUGCAAAAAAUUCUUUGAGGCUUUUGUUUUUAAAGAGAUCAAGUGAAUGGUAAGUCCUGUGUAUGUAUCAAGAAAGCCCGGGGCUGUGCCAGGGCCUGCUUCCCUCUCUCCUCCUCCUCUGCCACCACUCCCGCCUCCCCUGCCGGUUCACUGAGCUCCUCCCCUAUGCUGCUUUCCCAUGGGAAGGCUGAGUAACAAUAGCAAUUUCUUCUGAAUGGAGCUCUUCCCUGAGCCAAUGAGCAAACAGGAGCCAGGGAAGAGCUGGCCGGCGUGGAGCUGCUCCGCGGUGAUUACAUAACCAGGACAUACCUGGGAGAGGCGCUGAUCCAGGGGAUUUUGACAGGGGUGGGAGGACGCGGGGCACGCCCGGCGCAGGAAUGGCCGGGCAGGUACCGGGCCUCGCUGGGAACUGGAGCCGGGGUGUCCGGGAGGAAGGAAACUUGAGUGUCAUUUUCCGAGUGUCACGUAUGAAGAUAGGUCCCUGCAUGCUCGUUUUGUUUAAUCUUCACAACAGCGUGCCGGGGUGGGUACAGUUAUGUUCCCUUUUCUAGAUGCAAAUAAUAGAAAUGAGACACAGGGAGGUGAUGUCCCCAACCCGUCACACAGCUGGGAUGUGAGCUUCAUCUGACUCCAGAGCCUGUGGGGUUAACGGAGCUGGACCACCUCCCACCUCUACUUUCUCUCCAUCUCCCCUCUUCCUCUCUCCCAUUAAAUCUUGUGUCCAUUUAUUCGUCCCAUUUUCCAUCCAUCCAACCGUCCACUAGUCCCCAGCGGUUUUCCCUCCCCUCAGGACUGGACCUGCAUCAGGAGGAGAGCCGAAGAGAAGCCGGACACAGCUGCUGCCUGAGAAAGACUGGGUUACUGAGGUGCAUCGGUGCCCAUCUGAGCUAUGAUUUUAGAACUUCUAUGUGUUGGGCCCUUUCUGCGUGUGAGGGACACGGAACGAGCUUUAUAAUAGUUUUCUCGCCUAAUCUGCAAGGUGAUUCCCGGGAUCACUCUCCCCUGUGGCAGAAGAGCCUGAGGUCCACAGACCCCCAGGAGCCUCGCCCUGGAGACUCGGGGGUCGGGGAGGGCUUCCCCGAGGGGCAGCCUGAGUGGGCUUGGGCAGGGCACCCAGGGGUUCCUCAGGCAGAGGAGGAGGAAAGUGUGGGUGCAUUUCUGACCCUGAGCCAUGUGAUCGAGAGGAGGCGGUGGGAGGAUGGGGUCUGUCAUAGCCUGGCUACCUCGCCUUACCUGGGGGCUGCCAGCCUCGGAGCUCCUGAGGCAGGAGCUGGGGAAGACCCCAGGGACCCCAGGGCUGGCCAAGCUAAGGACAGGCUGCCCAAAGCAGGGGUCUCAGCCCUAGAGCAUGGCUGAGUCAGACCAACACUUCUCUUGAACAAGCAUCUCUCCUCUCUGGGGGUCAGCUGCCCCAUCCGUAAAGUGGGGACAGUGGGAGGAUUCCGUGAGAGCAUGUGGCGAUGCCGGCUGGGCAGCGGUGAGCCUGCAGACCUGUGUGUGACUCCAGGAGGGCUGCACAGAGAUGCCUUGUAUCUGGACGUCCUGCUGCCUGGGCCAUCUGCGGCUCCUGGAUCAAACAAGUAACCCCCAGGGGUGGGCACCAGGGUACCAGCCACAUCAUGAAGGGGGCCUCCCUCUCCUGUAGCGCCCAAGCGCCACACUGCCGUUCUGUAAGCUGCCUCCCCCGCCACCACAGACCGGCCAUGUUGCCACGUAACUAGAUGCCUGUAUUUACCUACCGUGGGGAAGGGACCGGCCUGCCUGGUCGGUCGGGCAGAGAUGAGCUCAGAGGGCUUUGGCUCGGUUCCUGCUCCACGCUGUGUGUGCACGCCUCCUGGGCCUGGCAGCUGGGCUUGGGUAGGGGCACGUCGGCAGGGACUAGAGGGAGACUAUGUCCUGGGAGCACAGGCCAUGCACCUUUGGGUUGCCUGCUUGGGUUGCAGCAGCCAGCCUUGGCCGGGGGAGGCCGGGCCCAGGCCACCUCUGGGUGGCAAGCGUCCGAUGGCCCCCCACGGCUCUGAAGCUCAGGCUGCUGUUGGAGUCACCCAGCUGCACUGGAUGAACAGAUGGCCACCUGAACGGGAUGGCAAAGAGCUCUGAGACUAGAGGAACGAGCCCUGGGCACAGCCUGGGCUCAACGGUUGUUCCUCCAGGGCACAAACUUUUAUUAAGGACCUACUAUGUGCAGCCCUCUCUCUGUCCUCCACCGUGUGAGGACACGAGAGGAUGGCUGCCUGCAAAGCCAAGAGGGGUCUCACCAGGCACUGGAUCUGCCAGCAGCUGGAUCUGGGACUUCCCAGCCUCCAGAACUGUGAGAAAUAAAUGUUUGCUCUUCAAGAAAAAAAGAACCUACUAUGUGCAGGAAAAUGUUACACCUUUUAUCUUUAAUUCCCAGAACAAUCUCAAUGUUCAUAUUCUUGUUUUACACAGGAAGAAACUGAGGCUCAGAGAGGCAAAUGACCGACCCAAGACCACACAACUCAAGAGAGGAUGGAGUUAGGGUUUGAGCCCAUGUCAGUCUGACCGUAAGUCGUUAUUUCCAAUAUAUAUGCUGCCUCCUAUGCCCCAGUGUUUUCACCUAAGUAGGGAUCGUCACACAAUCCAAGAAAUGGUGUCACUCUGCGCUUUGUGACCAACAUGGCAGCCUUGUGUGACAUUAUCUGUUCAUGGAUAUUUGGCUGGGUCAAUGAAUGGACAGGUGGAUGGACAGUGGCAUAAUUGGACAGAUAGAUGGAUAGGUGGUUGGAUAAAUGAGAGCCACAUUUAUAAAUAGGGUGGGAAGACAGAGGGACAGAUAGAUGGUUAGAUGGAUGGAUGGAUGGAUGGAUGGAUGGAUGGAUGGAUGGAUGGAUAAACCUGUGAAUGGAUGGGCCAAAAGAUGGAUGGAUAGAUGGAUAAAUAAGCAAUGAAUGGAUCGACGAGCCAAUGGAUGGGUGGCUGAGUACCUGGAGGAUUGGAAUGAAGGAUAGAAGUCUGUCUGGAUGGAGAGAUGGAUUGAAAGUUAGGUGGGUGAGGGGACAUAUAGGUCCCACCUGAUCCAACUCUAGCUGUGCAAGAGAUUUUCUCAAAUACCCAAAACCCGUCCCAAGCUGAGGUCCAGCUCUGUGGUCCAGGUGCUGCCUGGGGAACAUCAGAGUCACCUUAUAGAACCAGUGUCCCUGCUACUGUGCCAACAGCCCUGUGGCAGGCAGAGGGGAGGCAGCUGCCACUUUCCCUCCCAACUAGAGAAGCUGGAGGGAGAGGCCUGGGCUGGGGACACAUCUCCAGCCUCGACACUGACCUGACAUGUAUCCCUGGAGGGCCCUGACCAUCCUGGGGACUCUGCCACAGGUGGGCAAUCGGACAGAGUGAAAACCCAGGCAGGUGUAGGUGGAGUCGCUCGGCUGCCGCCGGCGGAGCCCUGGAGGCCCCCUUACAGACCCCGGCGCUACUUCUCAGAGGUCAGGGGUCUCCGGACACACGGGCUGGGACUGUCUCCGGGGCUCAUCCAGCUUCAGCAGACUGAGAUUCAGGCCAAGAAAACCCAAGUCACCGGAGCCCGCACUGGAAAGGCGGCUGGUCAGGGCUCUUAACCUCACCUGGCCGAAGGUGUCUGCCUCUCAGAUGUGCGCUGGGCCAAGGUCAACCCCUCUUCUGGGACCACCUUCCCAUCCCUAUCCUGAGUCCAUUUGGAAGAUGGGGUGCGUGAGGAACAUGGGGAUUUUUAUGGGGCAGGAGUCUGGGAGGUCCUGGGCCUGGUGGUGGGGGGCUGUGGAAGGAAUGGAGGGGGUUUGGGAG